GUGCGGACCUGUUGAGCCCCUUCAGUACUCCAGAGAAGGAAACACUGACACCUAGCAGGAAUUAAGUUGCUCAAGGUCUCACCGUAUUCUAGUUUUGCAUUUAAAUCCAAUUUAUGUUACCUGGGUACCUCUCAGGACCACAACGAGAAGUCUCGAAACUAAUUAUAUGGGAUCGUACGCCAGUGGGAUGGCAGAAGGAAGCAGCUUCCAAACCUUCUUUGGUGGCCUCAUGGAAGCCAAGGCUUUUGAUGCUGUGCUCAGUGAUGGGGACUGUCUGGCUAGGAAAGUUUAAAGCAAUCACACUGUCAGCGGCUCCUAGAGACUGGAAGGCUUCCAAGUACCGCGUCAGACGGGACAGGAACAGGAAAAAUGGUCCUCAAAGCUACAACAGCCCUCUGGCCUUCACUGUGGUUGCGAGGAUAAUGGCAGUAGCCAUGACUCCCACAUGGGAGGAGACACACGCGCGCGCGCACACACACACACACACACACACAUUCCUUAGAGAGUCAGUUUCCGUGCCCCAGCCUCUUGUUUUUG
rnacentral:lncRNA from 1 species